UUCCCUGACACCAGAGUGGGAGCUUACAUCGUUUCAAGAGACCCCAACUGGAUAAGUUAGGAGGGAUGUGGGGGACCGAACGAAAUGUUUUUCGUCUGGAGGACACCACUGUUAAAAUUUUGACUAACUAUAGUCCUAUAGUUUAUAGCAUACAAAGAGUUUCAUGUCCUCAGACUUUACUGGCUGGAGAGACUUUCUAGUACAUCUCUGAUCAAUAGAUGUUAUCUUGAUCUACCCAAGCCUUGUAUACCUACACGUGUCAGCACAGUUUAUGAGAGUUAUCUUAAUGACUUGGACUUCCACCAGGACAUUUUGAUUACUAGUGACCUCAGUUCUAAUCGACUUGUCUUUAUUGACAUUAAAACUGACCAGAUCAUGCGACAGAACUGGGCAGGAUCACCUUAUGGAGUCUGUGUGGCUUCAGAAGACAGACAACCUUGGUUCGAUAAUUCUAAAGAUGCUGUUGAUGUGGGUCUAUCUACGUCAUCAUUUGUAACCAUGUCAACCAAAGGCGUUAUACUGUUAGCAUCAGAAGCUCUUGGACUUUUCGUGGCUCCUAAGACAUUCGCCAUGGGUUCCUCCAGCUUUCUUCCAAUACUGAUCCUCAAAGAAAAUGGCAUCACCAAAAUGGCUGCCGAUGUCAACAGAAGACAUUUGUUUUAUUUU